rnacentral:rRNA from 1 species
UACGGGAGGCAGCAGUAGGGAAUCAUCCGCAAUGGACGAAAGUCUGACGGUGCAACGCCGCGUGAGUGACGAAGGUUUUCGGAUCGUAAAACUCUGUUGUUGGGGAAGAACAGGUAUCAUUCGAAUAGGGUGAAGCUUUGACGGUACCUAUUCCAGAAAGCCCCGGCUAGCUACGUGCCAGCAGCCGCGGUAAUA